UACGUAGGGGGCAAGCGUUGUCCGGAUUUAUUGGGCGUAAAGAGCGUGUAGGCGGCUAGAUAGGUCCGUUGUGAAAACCCGAGGCUCAACCUCGAGACGCCGGUGGAAACCAUCUAGCUAGAGUCCGGAAGAGGAGAGUGGAAUUCCUGGUGUAGCGGUGAAAUGCGCAGAUAUCAGGAAGAACACCCGUGGCGAAGGCGGCUCUCUGGUACGUGACUGACGCUGAGACGCGAAAGCGUGGGGAGCGAACAGG
rnacentral:rRNA from 1 species